rnacentral:lncRNA from 1 species
UUGCCUGCUGGCCCCCAGCCCCAGCCCCAGCCCCAGCCCCCACUCCCAAGUCAGCCCCAGGCACAGAAGAGACGAUUCACAGAGGAGCUACCAGAUGAACGGGAAUCUGGACUGCUUGGAUACCAGGUACAGGCUUCUCCAGUCAGAAUGAGAUUGAAGGUGCAGGAUCGAAGCCAGCAAGUUCCUCAGGCAAAGAGAGAGAGAGGGACAGGCAGUUGAUGCCUCCACCAGCCUUUCCAGUGACUGGAAUAAAAACAGAGUCCGAUGAAAGGAAUGGGUCUGGGACCUUAACAGGGAGCCAUGGUGAGUGUGAUAUAGCUGGGGGAACAGGGGAGUGGCUAACUAAGACUGGUCUAAAGCUAUUAGUUUUCUCAGCUGGGCGCGGUGGCUCACGCCUGUAAUCCCAGCACUUUGGGAGGCCGAGGUGGGCGGAUCACCUAAGGUCAGGAGUUCAAGACCAGCUUGGCCAACAUAGUGAAAUCCCAUCUCUACUAAAAAUACAAAAACUAGCGGGCAUGGUGGUGGGCGCCUGUAAUCCCAGCUACUCAGGGGGUUGAGGCAGGAGAAUCGCUUCAACCUGGGAGGCAGAGGUUGCAGUGAGCCAAGAUCAGACCACUGCCCUCCAGCCUGGGCAAUAGAGCAAGACUCCAUCUCACAAAUAAAUAAAUACAUAAAUAAAGCUAUUAGUUUUCUAACCUGAUGUUCAUUCAGGUGUUUAAUCCAACCUCUAUAAUCUGUUGGCCAGUGAAAAUACUUUUGGGCCGGGCACGGUGGCUCACGCCUGUAAUCCCAGCACUUCGGGAGGCCAAGGUGGGCGGAUAACCUGAGGUCAGGAGUUUGAGACCAGCGUGGCUAACACGGUGAAACCCCGUCUCUACUAAAAAUAGAAAAAUUAAGCUGGGCAUGGUGGUGCAUGCCUGUAAUUCCAGCGACUUGGAAGGCUGAGGCAGGAGAAUCGCUUGAACUUGGGAGGUGGAGGUUGCAGUGAGCCAAGAUCACACCACUGCAUUCCAGCCUGG